CCGGACGGAGAGGCAGCCAAGCCCUGUCGCCCCCGCCCCGAUCGGCGGUGGCGGAGGUACACCUGUCGGGGUGCCCGCAGCAGCGGCCCCUUUGAAAAUGGCGCCGGGGCGACGUGGCCGCCGGAGCGCCGCUCCUCCGCCGCAUUUUUUACUCCCACGGGGAAACCCCACUUGGCGCCUGCUUUUUUGCUCUCUCUCUCUCUACAUCUACAAGAGCGAGCACCACCACCACCACCAGCCACCCCCGUUCCUCCGUCGCAUAUCCCGACCAAAUCCAGCGCAAAUCUAGCGCCACCUUCCCUCCCCCGCGGCCGGUCGUCUUCUUCUUCGCGUCGUCCUCGCCCCCCUCGCUUGGAUUGGAUUGGAUCGGAUCGUGCCUAUCUCGAUCCCUCCAUGGCAGAUGACCUUCUAGAUUGCCGCAGGAGCUAGCUUGCUGCCGCUCGUCGCAUCCGCGCAUAUGCCCACCCGCUCGGAUCGUGGUGGCCGUGGGCUCCCCGAUUCGCUUCUCCCACUGCCGCUCCUGUAGCCCCAGCCCAUCUGCUUGCUUUGAUUUUGGUGCUGUGCCGCUUAUCUAGGCCGCCUCUCUUCAUCUAGGGUUCAACGUCCGCGCCGGCUUCUCAGUUGCUGCAAGUGGAGGCAGCAAGCUAGAGGCAGCAACUGCAUAUCUUGCAAGAAAAUCGGUUCUUUGGCCAUACCGGUGAUUUUCUUGUAAGUUGUGCAGUUGUUGUCUCAAGCUUGCUGCCUCCCUUUGCCAGAACUAUUGGAUAUAAAACAGAGUCAAGUAAUGCCUCUUCCAGGUUUGCCAAAACAAGUAAUAUAAACAUUUUGCAUAUAGUCAUAGAAACAUGAUGGUUAAUCAGAUCACUAAUUUUGCCAAUUUCAUUAGAUAAGAAACUGUUUGAACUGAGGAGGUCAUCUAACAGUAAAAGAAGUAACAAGAGGCAAAGAAAGAAAUUCCUAGUAAAAAAAAUAAGGAAUGUAGUAGCUUCUUUCAGUCUGAAGACUGAGAUUUUAUUUUGAUUUUUCCAGCUAUCAACUCAACUGAAUGUGUUACUCCCUAAUCGAUUCUUUUCCUUUUGUGGGGUGUUACUCAUGUAUUGUAAAAAGCUUGUUUAACUAACCAAAAUUCUCCCAAUUCCCACCAAGCUAAAUUAACUAUGAAGCAUCUGUCCUGUAUACAAGGCGCAGAACAAGUCAGAUCUAUCAGAUGUUACCAAAGCAAAAGGUUCAUGUGAACUAAGAGUACGGAUCCUUUUAGAGGAUGUGGCAUUUAAGAUUUAACACAGAUUGACAGGGCGCUAUGUAUUCGAGAUGUCAUGGGAUGCUUCCCGUCGGAAGAGUUCUGACGAAAUGCGUACUGAUGUUCGCUCAACAAUUUGUAUUAUCUGUACAUUUCCACCGUUUAGGCAGCUUUGGAAUUGGACCAUAAUUAGCCGGGUGUAUCUGCAAGUUCUGUAUAUGCGUUAUUCUGAAGGAUGUUUAGUGGAUUGAAAAGUGCCCUUUGGAUUGUCUUGUUAGUGAAA